UACGUAGGGACCAAGCGUUGUCCGGAAUCAUUGGGCGUAAAGCGCACGUAGGCGGCUCGUUAAGUCGGUUGUGAAAGCCCUCGGCUCAACCGAGGAAGUGCAAUCGAAACUGGCGAGCUUGAAUAUGGAAGAGGGUCGCGGAAUUCCCGGUGUAGAGGUGAAAUUCGUAGAUAUCGGGAGGAACACCAGUGGCGAAGGCGGCGACCUGGGCCAAUAUUGACGCUGAGGUGCGAAAGCGUGGGGAGCAAACAGG
rnacentral:rRNA from 1 species